ACCUCUCAACCCCGCCUAAUGGUUUUAUUACUAUAAGGUAGAUUGGGCUUGGAUCAUGGUCUUUUGCCGGUCUUAAAUGGCGUUUUGUUAAAGGAACUGCUCUAGAUCUAUGGCUGGACUGAAAUACAACAAGCUAAAUGAAUGCAUUGCGGUUUGAACUUGACGUUGUAAAACUUUUCAACUCGUUGAGUGACGUGAUGGGAUCAAUAAGCUUUCCAAAUGACUAAUUUGAUUAGUGCAAU
rnacentral:misc_RNA from 1 species